CUUAAUAAUUUUAAUUGCAUAUAUUUGUGGAUAAUUAAUAUAUUUAAUAUAGAAAUCACUGGAAGUCAAACUAAAUCCAUGUUUCUCUUCCCCAAGCUACAAAGCUUUUCAUAUCUCCGAGUCUCUUUCUAGAAUGAGACAAACAGGAAGUUAACAAUUAUGUUACCUGUCUUGUCUAUACUUGACAAUCACCUAAGAGAGUGAAUCCAUAGCCAUUUUUCAGAAGUUAGAAUUUCAAUAAUGCAGUCUGAAGUUAGAGGGAAAACAGCUGAGUGGUUUUAUUAGAUCAAAUAUCAGAGGAGGGCCCAAAGAUACAGAGGUGUUGGCUCCCAACUCCUGUUUAUUCACUCCCACUGAAAUCACUGGGAGCUAAGUGCCAUGGCUGUAGUUAUGAGAAAUACUGGAAGAAAAACCUGCAAUACUGGAGAUAAUGAUUAUUUUAAACCAAUAAUGUCUUGGUAACUUCUGAUUCUCUUUCUCUUUAGUUUUGCCAGGGAAGAUGUUCUAUUCUUUAAAGAAGUUAUUUUUAGGACAAAGGGUCUUGGGAUUCACUGUCAUGAGUUUUAACUCUUGUUGUCAAGGCAUCCUCCAUGAUUUUUGGAAUCUUUGAAAAGUAUUUAAAACUCCAGGAUAUUACUAGAGAAGUAAAUACUUCCAUCAUUUGAUCAUCUCUAUUUCUGCCAUCCACAGAAAAAAAUGGGUUGCCACAGGUUUCAUCAUUUGAACAGAUUUUUCAUGAAUUGAUGGACAAUUUACUGUCAUCUCUGAAGAAGAAUCCAGAUGAGUAUUUUCAAAUUUUGGGGUACAAUAUUUCCCUCAGCAGGCAGUAAAAAAGUAAAAAGUUUAAAAUUAAAACUGGAAAAGUCUCACUGCCUCCCAUAUUUCUCUUUAAUAUUUCACUUAAACAAAUAUCUGGUUUGCCUGUUUUCUACCACUGGGGACAGGGCUAUUGAGUAGUUUGCACCAGAAAGCAUCUUUCCAUAGGAAAAAAAUAAUAUUCUUUAGCAUUCACUCUCAAAUGUGAAAGCCCACAACUCAGUUGAAAGUUUUUCAUGCUGAAUUUUUCUAAACAGCAAGCUAAUAAUAUGCUACUUUCUUAUUUAUUAUGACUGAUUUUUAUUUCUUUUUAUAAUUGCACUUCAUUAAAUGUAUCUUCAGAGAAACUACAUCAAAGUUGUCUCCAUGUAAAUGUAAUUAAUGUAACGAGUUGAAAUGUUACUCCCUGUCAUUGAGAUAUCCACAACACAUCCUAGUCUAAUCAAAUAGGAGUGACACUUAAAAAUAGUUCAAGAGCCUAAAGCGUUUUGCUAUCUGAACAGCGGAGGGCAAGUAUUUAGUUCCAGUGCUACAGCCCACCCACUGCAAGCACAGACAUUUUUACUUUCAAAAUUAGUCUUUAUUGUUCUAUGGGUUUUAAGUUUGUUUCUUUUUUGCAGUAAUAUAGUCCAUGAUCUUUCAAUAUUGAGGUACCUUCAUACCAGUAUCUCCAUAUUUUUUUUUGAUAUUAAAUGGCAAGGAUCAUACUGACAGUCUUGAAAUUCUCUUGCCUUAUUGGGUAAUAGCACUAGUCCCUUCUCUCUGACAGAAUAUUCCUUGACAAUGGAGAGGAGGUAAACCUUGGAAGAAAAUUGUAGAUAUGAAGGAUUUUCAGUCUACACUUUCCAGGACCAAGCAGUCUGUAAGAUUCUCCAUGGAUGCUCAUCACAAUUUGCCUUAAUUUCUUGACUCUUUAUGUUUGUCAGGGAGGUGGCGGGAUUUCAUGAGCAUAUGUGCAAAAGGUGAGGAUUCAAUGAUUUUUUUAAUGAAAAGGUGGGAUGGCUGUCUUACCCUAUAGGAUACUCUCUUGCAAGGUAGACAUGGCAGAAAUCCUGGUUAAUUUCUCCAAGUCAUAUAUUUUUUUCAACAAUAUACGAUAAGUAAAAUUGUCUACAUCACAUUGGCUCUUGUACUGGCUUUAGGACUGGCUUUGAGACCCUGGCAUGGAAACACACAAUGAACAUAUAAGGGUACACUGAUGAAAGGAACCCAUGUUCCUUUGCAGUCUAGCUGUUAUUUGAAACAGCUAUGUAAUUGUUCAAACUCCACGGAGCAACCAUGUGCUUCAGUGUUAAGAUUUUAGACAGUCUAAAUUGUGAAUAAUACCAUAUCUGUGCUCCCCUGUAUUUGUUGACAAUUGGGCAACUGUAAAGAUUAUCCACUAGUGAGUCAGGUGUACUAUGAAAUGCAAGUGGUUUAACCAAAACCAGAACAGAGUAAGACUAUGCAUGCAAAAUAAACUUCUGAGUGAUUAAAAAGAAAACAAAAUCACGAGUAGACAAUAUGCCUGUGAGAAAAAAAAAAGGUGCAUUUUAUGACUAAAUACCCAAGGCAUGCUUAUCACUCUUAAUUCAGCAUGCACAACACCAUGCUGAGGUUCCAUGCAGAAAGACAGACAUGCAAGAAUCCAAUUUCGUUAGUUGCAAAACAAAAAAGGCAUUUAAUCAGAACAGCUCCUUAAUCUGCCAGAGUCGUGGCUGGCAAACAUUGCAAGGAAGGCCGGGGAAGAGUGGGAAAACAGGUGUAUGGCACAGAGGGAAUAAAAUAGAGUAGAUCCUGUUAACUUAGAGAAAUAUGUGCUCCAUGCUGAAAGAGUGACCAAUUAGUGCCCCUGAAAUCCUUCCACAUGGGUGAGGAUUUCAAACUCUCUAACAUCAAAAUAAUAGUUAUGAAAAGUUUUAAAAUUUCUACUAAAAUAGAACCCUUUUUCCUACCAAUAAAAAAUAAACUAUGAAUUAGAAUAUUAGAAGUACUACUGAGAACAAAAUACAGGAAUAUCAAGCAAAUUAUCAAGUACAAAAAAUAGACUAUAUCCAUGAAACUAUGUUAGUGACCUUCUGCAUCAUAAAUGCUAUUGGACUCAGGAAAUGUCUGCAGAAAAAUAAAGGUACAAGUCAGACUUAAAGUUCUUAAUAAACAAGCUUUCCACCUAAGGUUUUAAUCUUUAUAAGGAAAAAUUGGAAAAUUAAUCCUGAAAGAAAUGCAUAUUAAUUCUUCCUUGACAGGCAGACAAAAGGAGUACAAAGAAGUUUGGGCAGAGCACUUUGUUAAUGCUGAGACAGUACUGCCUCGGCUGAGCAACUGAGGGACAAAUGAGACCAGAAAACCUAUGAAAGAAUGUUCAGCAGUUCCUCUGAGAAAUUGUCACUUAUCACAAGCAUGUUAGACAGAAGGUAAAAAAUAUUUUUGAGGCCCAUUUCUCAAGAGAUAAAAUCAGAAAGCAGUUUUUUAUACCGUGCUCAGUUGGCCUCUUGUGGUCUAUGUUUAAAUAUAUCAGUAGAACCCAACUGUCACUGUUGCAGUCGUGAUAUUAAUGGGAAAGACUUCUGGAUUAGAAAAAAAUGUGUUUAUGGCUAAAGCUCCACUAUUAUCUGUUGUAAACAUCUGAGAACCUCUAAAUACUUCUCUUUCAUAAGAAUUAAAAUAUAAGUCUUAGAAGUUAUUUGAUAUUGAUACAAUUAUUGUGGCUUAAAGAGGACAUCCAUGAAAUUUGUCAGUAUCAAGGAUGAAUACUAACCAGCAAAACUAGAAAACCAGCUGCAUGAAGCAUCUUAGCAAAAAAUCAUCCUUAUAUGGCUUCCUUGAAUCCCCUGUGUACAUUUCAUUCAUUUUUUAUAGUUAAGACUGCAGUGUCAUGAUGAAACUUUGAGUAGGUGAAGAAUAUUUCAGCUUAAUUUGUUAAAAUCAUCACAAGACCAUUAACUGACCUCCAGUAGAUUGAUGUGACUGAAAAAAUGUGUUGAUAUAUUUAAAAAACUGUAUUUAUUAAUGAAACCUAAGGAACUGAUCUUUACUUUUAAUGUUAAUUGUUUGAGCACUAUCAAAUGCCAUAUUAAGUGAACUACUUUUCUAUAAAUUCUUGCUUAAAAUUUGUACAAAAAUAAAAAAAAUAUAAUCUUAGAAUUAAUGUAUGUUAACUUUUUGUAACAGAAACAUUGUAAAAUACUUUGAAAAAAAAUUUCUAAAUUAUAUUACUAUUAAUGACAUUAUAAAUCCAUAUGUUUUGCCUAAGGAAUCAGAAAAUGAUGUUUGAUGUAAUUAAUCACAGAAAACCCCAAUAUGUCUAGGCAAAGGAAUUUUCUAUACAACAAUUUUUUUUUCCUUGGCAAAUGGUAAUAUUGAGAUUGAUAGAAAUUAUUCCUUGUUUGAAAGAAUUGCAGUGUCAAGGUGAUUGUAACUUAAUUCCUCAGCUGAUUUGCACUCAGAAUUCUGUUUGGACAAAGUUCUUUACCAUAAAAUAUAUAGACAGAUAAAAGUAUAAAAAAAUACCAGAUUGUAAAGUUAAUUGGAUAUUAGAGUUAUUAAAGGGUGUUUUCCAUGUUUAUCUAUUCAGUAAAAUGAAUUACAGUAAUACUUCUGUUGACAAAAGUGCAGUGUAAACUGAGUACUUUGCCUGAGAAAGACAAACUAACCAGGUACUGUUUGGUGGCACUCUUCUCAAUGAUAUCCAUAAAUCAAAGCUGAUCACACCUGACCUCUACUUUGCUUCUCGGAAACCCUGAGUAGUUUUCUGGAGUCUGGAUGUUUCAGCAUUGCCUUUCACAGCCAGUGGGUUGACCAAAGCUUGUUUUGAAGGCAAUGUGGGGUCUUUUUCCCUCCCACAAAAAUAUAUCUGGCCCCAGCACAGCAACCAUCUGUUAACUUCAGGGGCCAACAAGUGACUUGAGAACAGUUGCUGUACAGAUGGAGCGCCAGGUGGACUUGGGAGAUGGUAAGGGGAAAUCCUUUUCCAUUUCACUGAAAAAUUAGAUUGUUUAAGGUAUUUUAUGAACUAUUUCCACUUUUUGGAGCCUAAACCUGUCACCUGUUUUCAUUCACCUGUAAGCCAUCUGACCACCCCAUGUCUUUCAGCUCUAACCUGUGGUUUCUUACCACAAGUCUGUCAUACCACACUGGUAUGGUGCAAGACAAACACUGGAAGGGAAGGGUCAUGUCUUUUAUCUUCUGAAAUUCAAGUUGCUACAGACUUCCCUCCCUAUGUCACUGUUCCCCUUCAUGGUUUUCCCAGUUUCCUUGUAGCUGGAAAGGUCAAAACUUAAAAAAACCAAACCCUCUCUUCCUGCAGCAUGUCUGCUCUUCCUCAGGAGAUUGUAAAAUAUGCCAGGGAGCCUUAUGGGAAAAAAAGGUUUCUUUCACUGCUGCUUUCAAAUGUCAGGAGAACUGUAAAAAAGAUCUUGAAGAUCUCCAUGAAAGUAUUUUUCAUGUGAAUUGUUGAUGGUACAGCUGUCUAAAUCCAAAACUAGGUCAUUUACAUUACUACAGAGUAUUAUUUUCUAAAUCAAAGCAUGACUUGCAGUCUCUGGAAAGUUUGGCUAAUCCUUCUCCCCCUCUGAGCCUAAAGCCAUCCCUCUGUUUAUAACUGGUUGUUUUUAGAAGUCCUAGACGUGGUGCACUAUUUUGCUAUGUUUUAAUGGAACCCGCUGCCUCUCCAUGGCGCUCUUUGAGAACAGGAGACACAAACCCUCUCCUAAGAGAAACCCAAGAUUGUUCAUUUUCCUUCCACAAAAAUCUGUGUCUUCCUCUCCCCUUUGUGAGAGCUUUUCUUUCUCAGCUACGUCCUUCCCAGCUCUGUCUGAACCUGGGCAUGUCAAGAGGGGAUGUCAAGCCACAAGGCAGAGAUAAGAAAAAACCCAACCAAUUCACAGGUGUAUCGGUGGAGAGCUUGUUGAGCAAAUAACUGCAUAAACAAACUUGUAGGGCUUAGUGUGUCCUUAAAUAUUCUCUUUUCAUGACUAUUGCUUUCCAUUCCCUGGGUUAUGUCCUCUCUACAUUAUGUCUAGACUUCAGCAAGAAGAAUAUUUAUUAAAUAAGGUCAGGGUAGACUUAG